AACGUAGGACACAAGCGUUAUCCGGAGUUACUGGGCGUAAAGGGCGUGCAGGCGGUUUCUUAAGUCAGGCGUGAAACCAUUCGGCUAAACCGGGUGUAGUCGUCUGAGACUGGGAGACUAGAGUGUGGUAGAGGCGUGUAGAAUUCCGGGUGUAGUGGUGAAAUGCGUAGAUAUCCGGAGGAAUACCAGUGGCGAAGGCGGCACGCUGGGCCAUAACUGACGCUAAGACGCGAAAGCAUGGGUAGCGAAC
rnacentral:rRNA from 1 species